rnacentral:rRNA from 1 species
UCUGACACGCCUACGCCGUCUGGGGGAUGGCUAGGCUUGGGCGCCGAGGAAGGUCGUGGCAAGCUGCGAUAAGCCUCGGGUAGGCGCAUGCAGCCUGAGAUCCGAGGAUUGCCUAAUGGGACUUCCCGAUUAAGGUUAAUAACCUUAGUCGCUCCCGUCAGGGAGCGGGAACUCCCCGAAGGGAAGCAUCUCAGUAGGGGAAGGAAAAGAAACUAAUAAGGAUUCCCUAAGUAGCGGCGAGCGAAAGGGGAACAGGGCAAACCGAAUCCUGCAAGGAAACUUGCCGGAGAUGUGGCGUUAUAGGACCUAGCCGCCACCUCUUCCAGGAAGCUGAGAGACAUGAAAUUGUCUGCCUUAGAGGGUGAUAGCCCCGUAAGCGCAACUCGAAAGGUGUUGGGCUGGGUAUCCUGAGUACCGUGGACCGGUUUUUCCGCGGGAAUUUGGGAGGUACCGACUUCCAACCCUAAAUACGUCCCAAGUCCGAUAGCGCACUAGUACCGUGAGGGAAAGCUGAAAAGAACCCCGGAAGGGGGGUGAAAAGGGCCUGAAACCAGGCGGUUAUAGACGAGCGCGGCCCGAAAGGGUAGAGUCUCCCCGAAGGAACCUGGGGUGACCCAGCAGUACGAGGGGAGAGGACCAGGGUUGCGCUAUCCGUCUUGAAACACGGGCCGGGGAGUCCACGCUUGUGGCGAGCCUAAGGAGGUGAAGCUCCGUAAGCUUAGGGAAACCGAAAUGCCCGCAACUAGCUUUUGCUAGCGAGGGGCUGGGUCUGAAAGGGCCUGGAGUCACAGGCGUAGAACCCGAAGCUGGGCGAUCUAGCCCUGGCUAGGACGAAGCCAGACGUAAGUCUGGUGGAGGUCCGAAGGGGUGCUGACGUGCAACUCGCUCCUCUGAGCUGGGGCUAGGGGCAAAAUACCAAUCUAGCCCAGGGAUAGCUGGUUCCCUCCGAAGUAGGUCGUAGCCUAGCCUGGCUGGAGGUAGCUGAUGGGGUAGAGCACUGAUUAGGGGGCAAAGGGACCGAAAGGUCCCACCUUCUUCUCAAACUCCGAACCUAUCGGCGCCAUAGAAGGCCAGAGACGGGUGCCUAGGGAUAAGCUCUUGGACCGAGAGGAGAACAAUCCAGACCGGGGUUAAGGCCCCAAAGUGCCGGCUAAGUGUCAAACCGAAGGGUGUCCGCAGCCUCAGACAGCAGGGGAGUAGGCUUAGAAGCAGCCAUCUCUCAAAAAGUGCGUAACAGCUUACCUGCCGAGGUUGUGGGCCCCGAAAAUGGACGGGACUAAAGCCGGCCGCCGAUACCCCGGGGCACGGUGUAAUGCCGUGAUCCGGUAGGGGGGCGUUCCGGUUGGGCCGAAGCUGAGCCGUGAGGUUCAGUGGACCGGCCGGAAGUGCAGAUCCCGGUGGUAGUAACAGCAAAGCCAGGUGAGAAUCCUGGCCGCCGAAGGGGCUCGGGUUCCUCGGCAACGCGUCGUCAGCCGAGGGUCAGUCGAUCCUAAGGUUAAGCGUAACUCGCUUAAGCCGAAAGGGAAACCGGUUUAUAUUCCGGUACCAUGGAGGUACGAUUGCGGUGACGCUAAGCCUGAUUUCUGACGCUUCCGGGUAGGUUGAGCAGGGUCGUCGCCUUGUUUAAGUGUAUUAAGCCUAGGGAGGGCUGUAAAAGCGAGAACUAGGCGAAAGCACGAAUAGCUACCCGUUUAGGGUGGUUCAGCCGAUCCCAGGAGCCAGUGAAAAGGGAAUCAGGAAGGAUCCUCCGUGUCCGUACCUAGAACCGACACAGGUGCCCCUAGGUGAGAAGCCUCAGGCGUGUCGGAAUAAACUCGGGCAAGGGAAAUCGGCAAAUCAGCCCCGUAACUUUGGGAUAAGGGGUGCCUGGAACCUUUGGCCUAAAAACCAGGGGUUUUAGGUCGCAGUGACUAGGGAGGCCUGACUGUUUAAUAAAAACAUAGCUUCCCGCAAGCGCGUAAGCGUGUGUACGGGAGGUGAAUCCUGGCCAGUGCAGGUACGUUAAACCUGGUUCCAACCGGGCGAAGCGCCUGUAAACGCCGGGAGUAACUAUAACUCUCUUAAGGUAGCCAAAUGCCUUGUCGGACAAGUACCGACGUGCAUGAAUGGACCAACGAGGUCUCUACUGUCCCUGCCCGGGGGCCGGUGAACCCACGUAACCUGGCGAACGGUCCAGGAACUCCCAAGGGGAAAAGAAGACCCCGUGGAGCUUUACUGCAGCUUGGCGCUGGGGUGCGGUUGUGGUUGCAGAGCGUAGUCGGGAGCCGUUAAUACCAGUCCUUUCGGGGACUGGCUAGGCGCCAAUGCCACACCGACCUUUCAUGACUGUAUCCCUAACCGAGGGAAACCCCGAGACACCGCUAGGUGGGCAGUUCGGCUGGGGCGGCACGCCCUUGAAAAGGUAUCAAGGGCGCCCAAAGGUCGGCUCAACCGAGACAGAAACUCGGCGUAGAGGGCAAGGCCAAAAGCCGGCCUGACUGCAUCUUAAACAGCAAAAGAUACAGAGGCGAAAGCCGGGCCUAGCGAUCCUUCAUGUCCUCCUCGGUGGGGGCUGGAGGUGACAGAAAAGUUACCCCGGGGAUAACAGAGUCGUCGCGGGCAAGAGCCCAUAUCGACCCCGCGGCUUGCUUCCUCGAUGUCGGCUCUUCCCAUCCUGGAGGUGCAGCAGCCUCCAAGGGUAGGGCUGUACGCCCGUUAAAGGGGAACGUGAGCUGGGUUUAGACCGUCGUGAGACAGGUCGGGUUUUAUCUCUUGGGAGUGUGAGGUCGCCUGAAGGUAAGGUACCCUCAGUACGAGAGGGCUAGAGUGCUGUGAGCACCUGCUCCGUAAGAGGAACGGGGUGCCGUGGCCUCUGGUGUACCGGUUGUCCGAGCGGGCAACGCCGGGCAGCUAAGCCGCAAGCGAUAAGGGCUGAAAGCAUCUAAGCCCGAAGCGCAACCUGAAAAGAGGCGACCAAUCCGCAGCUUUAGACUUCUGAAGUCAACUGGGACUCGCGAGAGUCACGGGUGCUGCGGACGAGGGCUCCGGUAAAAGACCGGGUUGAUAGGGCAGCGGUGUACGCCUCAAGCUUCGGCGAGAGGUUCAGCCGGCUGCUACUAAUCGCCCGAGCGUGCAGGC